UACAGAGGUCUCAAGCGUUGUUCGGAUUCAUUGGGCGUAAAGGGUGCGUAGGCGGCGCGGUAAGUCGGGUGUGAAAUCUCGGAGCUUAACUCCGAAACUGCAUUCGAUACUGCCGUGCUUGAGGACUGGAGAGGAGACUGGAAUUUACGGUGUAGCGGUGAAAUGCGUAGAUAUCGUAAGGAAGACCAGUGGCGAAGGCGGGUCUCUGGACAGUUCCU
rnacentral:rRNA from 1 species